rnacentral:lncRNA from 1 species
CUAAAGCCAAGUGAAAGUGGGAUUCAAACUGGGUUUUUCUUCUGUGUAUUUCAGGCCAAGAGUGAGAACAAGGCUUCCCAUCACAUACGGGAAGGUGAAGCGUUCAGGCAGCUUGGCAGAAACUCAAGGGAACAGAAGAAUUAAGUGUAUUUUUUUUGGUGAAGUUUUGAGAUCCCUGUACAAAGUUUUGGAUUUGAGGAGAGCCCUUAAGACCUUCUAUCAACCUUGUCAAUCAAAUAAAUUGAUGAAUCAUUCAGAGCUAAGGCUACAAGCAGUCCUGCAUAGCAACUUCUGAGGUGAGUUCCUGGCUUUCUUGAUUACUGCAUGCAGACAAAACCUCUUCAUGGCUGUGGGUCACUGCUGAAGGAAUUCAAAACAAGGGAAAUUAAAGCUCAUCCACCUCAGCUUUUGUGAUUGCUCUUAGGAAGAUGUGAG